rnacentral:rRNA from 1 species
AACGAACGCUGGCGGCAUGCCUAAUACAUGCAAGUCGAACGAUCACUUCGGUGAUAGUGGCGCACGGGUGCGUAACGCGUGGGAAUCUGCCCUUGGGUUCGGAAUAACAGCGGGAAACUGCUGCUAAUACCGGAUGAUGACGUAAUUCCAAAGAUUUAUCGCCCAAGGAUGAGCCCGCGUAGGAUUAGCUAGUUGGUGGGGUAAAGGCCUACCAAGGCGACGAACCUUAGCUGUUCUGAGAAGAUGAUCAGCCACACUGGUACUGAGACACGGCCCAAAGUCCUACGGGAGGCAGCAGUAGGGAAUAUUGGACAAUGGGGGCAACCCUGAUCCAACAAUGCCGCGUGAGUGAUGAAGGCCUUAGGGUUGUAAAGCUCUUUUACCAGAGAUGAUAAUGACAGUAUCUGGGGAAUAAGCCCCGGCUAACUCCGUGCCAGCCGCCGCAGUAAAAC